CACACCACAACAUGAACGUACCACACCACAACACACCACAACAUGAACGUAACACACCACAACAUGAACAUACCACACCACACUGUGAACGUAACACACCACACCACACUGUGAACGUAACACACCACAACAUGAACGUAACACACCACAACAUGAACGUACCACACCACACCGUGAAGGUAACACACCACACCACACCGUCAUGUGACGUCUAUUAUAGUAAAAUCACAAUCCAGGUCUGGCUAUGAUGAGUCUUGAUCUUGGCUUCAACUUUUUUUUUACCAGUAGUAAAGAGCAACGAACGCUCAAUCAGCCCUCUAACCUCACAAAUAUCAUUUAUGGAGGUCAAAGGUUACCACAUUCCAAUUCUCUACCCUUCUCCCUGAGGUGUGCACUUGUACACUUCCCUUUAUGGAUUUAAAAUUAUUGGACUGGUGUCAGAAAUAUGAUGGAAAUGGGAACUCCCCUCCAGUCAUACUUGUACCGAUCCAAUGGUUUUGAGUUCUGGAGAAGGGUGGAACAUCGGAACGCAGCCACAGGGUUCAACUGCACCUCAGAGACUCCUGCCUUAUGUACGGUACAGAGUCAUGGAACCACUUUAAUAACGGUUACAUACUGUUUUACCUACUUCAUGUCUAUAUACUGUAUUCUAGUCAUGGUUCAUUCUAUAUAACUACUGCUGUACACACUUUCUAAUUCAUAUACUGUCUAUACACACCAUCCUAUUAUAACUACUGUCUAUACACACCAUCCUAUAUAUAACUACUGUCUAUACACACCAUCCUAUAUAUAACUACUGUCUAUACACACCAUCCUAUAUAUAACUACUGUCUAUACUGUCUAUACACACCAUCCUAUAUAACUACUGUCUAUACUGUCUAUACACACCAUCCUAUAUAACUACUGUCUAUGCACACCAUCCUAUAUAACUACUGUCUAUACACACCAUCCUAUAUAACUACUGUCUAUACACACCAUCCUAU
ensembl:lncRNA